AGGUGCGAUCAUACCAGCGUUGAUGAACCGGAUCCAUUCAGAACUCCGCAGUUAAACGCGCUUGGGCUAGAGUAGUACUGGGAUGGGUGACCUCCCGGGAAUUCCUAGUGUUGCACCCU
rnacentral:rRNA from 1 species